GAUGAACGCUGGCGGCGUGCCUAAUACAUGGAAGUCGAGCGAACAGACGAGGAGCUUGCUCCUCUGACGUUAGCGGCGGACGGGUGAGUAACACGUGGAUAACCUACCUAUAAGACUGGGAUAACUUCGGGAAACCGGAGCUAAUACCGGAUAAUAUAUUGAACCGCAUGGUUCAAUAGUGAAAGACGGUUUUGCUGUCGCUUAUAGAUGGAUCCGCGCCGCAUUAGCUAGUUGGUAAGGUAACGGCUUACCAAGGCAACGAUGCGUAGCCGACCUGAGAGGGUGAUCGGCCACACUGGAACUGAGACACGGUCCAGACUCCUACGGGAGGCAGCAGUAGGGAAUCUUCCGCAAUGGGCGAAAGCCUGACGGAGCAACGCCGCGUGAGUGAUGAAGGUCUUCGGAUCGUAAAACUCUGUUAUUAGGGAAGAACAAAUGUGUAAGUAACUAUGCACGUCUUGACGGUACCUAAUCAGAAAGCCACGGCUAACUACGUG
rnacentral:rRNA from 1 species